rnacentral:rRNA from 1 species
UGGGGAAUAUUGCGCAAUGGGGAAACCCGUCGACGCAGCAACGCCGCGUGAUUGAAGAAGGUCUUUCGGAUUGUAAAAUACUUUUAUCAAGGACGAAGAAGUGACGGUACUUGAUGAAUAAGCUCCGGCUAACUACGUGCCAGCAGCCGCGGUAAUACGUAGGGAGCAAGCGUUAUCCGGAUUUACUGGGUGUAAAGGGCGAGUAGGCGGAUUGGCAAGUUGGGAGUGAAAUGUCGGGGCUUAACCCCGGAACUGCUUCCAAAACUGUUGAUCUUGAGUGAUGGAGAGGCAGGCGGAAUUCCCAGUGU